UACGAGUGCCCCAAGCGUUAUCCGGAAUUAUUGGGUGUAAAGGGUGCGUAGGUGGUUUUAUUAGUCUCAUGUUAAAGCCUGGAGCUUAACUCCAGAAAUGCGUGGGAAACGGUAAGACUAGAGGAUGUGAGAGGUCUGUGGAACUCAUGGUGUAGGGGUGAAAUCCGUUGAUAUCAUGGGGAACACCAAAAGCGAAGGCAGCAGACUGGCACAUUCCUGACACUGAGGCACGAAAGCGUGGGUAGCGAAUGGG
rnacentral:rRNA from 1 species